GAGCCCCAGGUAGGGAGGGAGGGAGGAGGUCCCCUCGCUGUCCGUGUCGCUGAAGUCGCUCGAGGAGUCCUGGCAGGAGAGCGCCUCGACACAGAGGGGAAGCACAUCUGCAGUCGGAAGACCUGUUGCUACUCUCAGAUGGGACGCGUUCAUCUUACCUGAUAUUGACAUGAGGACAUUGCUGAUGGAGUAGACCCAGGUACACCUGCCUGCAUACA